rnacentral:pre_miRNA from 1 species
CUUAUAUUCCCUCCAUCUGAAAAUACUUCUCAUCAAAAUAGAUAAAAGGGAUAUAUUUAGACGUAUUUUAGUUCGAAAUAUAUUUUUAUUUAUUUAUUUUGAUGACAAAUAUUUUUAGACGGAGAGAGUACUAG